CUUAACCGACAGACUGCGUUUGAAACUGGUUAUCUUGAGUGUAACAGAGGAGAGUGGAAUUCCUAGUGUAGUGGUGAAAUACGUAGAUAUUAGGAAGAACACCAGUGGCGAAGGCGACUCUCUGGGUUAACACUGACGCUGAGGUACGAAAGCUGGGGGAGCGAACGGGAUUAGAUACCCCGGUAGUCCCAGCCGUAAACGAUGGAUACUAGGUGUUGGAGGUUCGAAUCCUUCAGUGCCGGAGUUAACGCAUUAAGUAUCCCGCCUGGGGAUUACGGUCGCAAGACUGAAACUCAAAGGAAUUGACGGGGGCCCGCACAAGCGGUGGAGCAUGUGGUUUAAUUCGAAGCAACGCGAAGAACCUUACCGAGAAUUGACAUCCCGUGACCAUCUAUGAGAGUAGAGUUUGUCACUUUGUGACACAC
rnacentral:rRNA from 1 species